UGUCUUUUUGUAAAUAAUGUAAAGUCUAAUCUGCCCACUGAUGUUAAUAUUAAAGGGCUGCAGUAUAUUGACUGUACAAAGGUAGCAUAAUCAUUAGUCAUUUAAUUGGUGACUUGUAUGAAAGAUUGGAUGAAAUAUAAACUGUCUCUUAGUUAAAGAUAAAAAUUAAUUUUUUAAUUAAAAAGUUAAAAUGAUUUAAAAAGACGAGAAGACCCUAUAGAGUUUUAUAGAUUAAUUGGAUUAAGAUUUUUUAAUAAUAUAAAAUUAAAAUUAAAUUAUUUAUUUUAUUGGGGUGAUAAAAAAAUAUAUGUAACUUUUUUUAUAUUAAAAACAUGUAUAAGUGAUUAAAUGAUCCAAUAUUAUUGAUUAUAAGAAAAAUUACCUUAGGGAUAACAGCGUAAUUUUUUUUUUUAGUUCGUAUAAGAAAAAGAGUUUGCGACCUCGAUGUUGGAUUAAGAUAAAAUUUAAAUGUAGAAG
rnacentral:rRNA from 1 species